rnacentral:rRNA from 1 species
UACGAAGGGGGCUAGCGUUGCUCGGAAUCACUGGGCGUAAAGGGUGCGUAGGCGGAUCUUUAAGUCAGGGGUGAAAUCCUGGAGCUCAACUCCAGAACUGCCUUUGAUACUGGGGAUCUCGAGUCCGGGAGAGGUGAGUGGAACUCCGAGUGUAGAGGUGAAAUUCGUAGAUAUUCGGAAGAACACCAGUGGCGAAGGCGGCUCACUGGCCCGGUACUGACGCUGAGGUGCGAAAGCGUGGGGAGCAAACAGG